rnacentral:tRNA from 1 species
GCCAGGCUAGCUCAGUUAGUAGAGCAUGAUACUCUUAAUCUCAGGGUUGUGGGUUUGUGCCCCACAUUGGGCA